AGCGAACGCUGGCGGCAGGCCUAACACAUGCAAGUCGAACGAACUCUUCGGAGUUAGUGGCGGACGGGUGAGUAACACGUGGGAACGUGCCUUUAGGUUCGGAAUAACUCAGGGAAACUUGUGCUAAUACCGAAUGUGCCCUUCGGGGGAAAGAUUUAUCGCCUUUAGAGCGGCCCGCGUCCGAUUAGCUAGUUGGUGAGGUAAAGGCUCACCAAGGCGACGAUCAGUAGCUGGUCUGAGAGGAUGAUCAGCCACAUUGGGACUGAGACACGGCCCAAACUCCUACGGGAGGCAGCAGUGGGGAAUCUUGCGCAAUGGGCGAAAGCCUGACGCAGCCAUGCCGCGUGAAUGAUGAAGGUCUUAGGAUUGUAAAAUUCCUUCACCGGGGACGAUAAUGACGGUACCCGGAGAAGAAGCCCCGGCUAACUUCGUGCCAGCCGCCGCGGUAA
rnacentral:rRNA from 1 species